UACGUAGGGUGCGAGCGUUGUCCGGAAUUAUUGGGCGUAAAGAGCUCGUAGGCGGUUUGUUGCGUCUAUCGUGAAAACCUGCAGCUUAACUGUGGGCUUGCGGUGGAUACGGGCAGACUUGAGUUCGGUAGGGGAGACUGGAAUUCCUGGUGUAGCGGUGAAAUGCGCAGAUAUCAGGAGGAACACCGGUGGCGAAGGCGGGUCUCUGGGCCGAUACUGACGCUGAGGAGCGAAAGCGUGGGGAGCAAACGGG
rnacentral:rRNA from 1 species